rnacentral:rRNA from 1 species
AUUGAACGCUGGCGGAAUGCUUUACACAUGCAAGUCGAGCGGCAGCGCGGCCUUCGGGCUGGCGGCGAGCGGCGAACGGGUGAGUAAUGCAUCGGAACAUGCCCAGUCGGGGGGGAUAACACUUCGAAAGAAGUGCUAAUACCGCAUACGUCCUGAGGGGGAAAGCGGGGGAUCACAAGACCUCGCGCGAUUGGAGUGGCCGAUGUCAGCUUAGCUAGGCGGUGGGGGAAAGGCCUACCAAGGCGACUAUCUGUAGCUGGUCUGAGAGGAUGAUCAGCCACACAGGGACAGAGACACGGCCCAGACUCCUAAGGGGGGCAGCAGUGGGGAAUUUUGGACAAUGGGGGCAACCCUGAUCCAGCCAUACCGAGUGAGUGAAGAAGGCCUUCGGGUUGUAAAGCUCUUUCGGCAGGAACGACACGGUGGGCUCUAAUAUAGUCCGCUAAUGACGGUACCUGAAGAAGAAGCACCGGCUAACUACGUG